UACAGAGGGUGCGAGCGUUGUUCGGAAUUAUUGGGCGUAAAGAGCGCGUAGGCGGUCCGAUAAGUCGGCUGUGAAAGUCAGGGGCUCAACCCUUGAAAGCCGGCCGAUACUGUCGGACUAGAGUCCGGAAGAGGCGAGUGGAAUUCCCGGUGUAGCGGUGAAAUGCGCAGAUAUCGGGAGGAACACCAAUGGCGAAGGCGGAUCUCUGGGCCGAUACUGACGCUGAGGAGCGAAAGCGUGGGGAGCGAACAGG
rnacentral:rRNA from 1 species